rnacentral:rRNA from 1 species
CCCCGGAGCCACAAGUGGGAAUCACGAUUAUUGGGUCUAAAGGGUCCGUAGCCGACUUGCUAUGUCUUUUGUGAAACUGUUAGGCUUAACUUAACAACGUGCAAGAGAAACUGGCAAGUUAGAGACCGGGAAGAGUCAGAGGUAUUCCUUGGGAAGCGGUAAAAUGUUAUAAUCCUUGGAAGACCACCUAUGGCGAAGGCAUCUGACUAGAACGGGUCUGACGGUGAGGGACGAAGGCUGGGAGAACGAUCGGG